CAAACUUGAGAGUUUGAUCCUGGCUCAGAACGAACGCUGGCGGCAUGCCUCAUACAUGCAAGUCGAACGAAGCCUUCGGGCUUAGUGGCGAACGGGUGCGUAACGCGUGGGAACCUGCCUUUAGGUCCGGAAUAACAGUUAGAAAUGACUGCUAAUGCCGGAUAAUGUCUUCGGACCAAAGAUUUAUCGCCUUUAGAUGGGCCCGCGUAGGAUUAGGUAGUUGGUGUGGUAACGGCGCACCAAGCCGACGAUCCUUAGCUGGUCUGAGAGGAUGAUCAGCCACACUGGGACUGAGACACGGCCCAGACUCCUACGGGAGGCAGCAGUAGGGAAUAUUGGACAAUGGGCGAAAGCCUGAUCCAGCAAUGCCGCGUGAGUGAUGAAGGCCUUAGGGUUGUAAAGCUCUUUUACCAGGGAUGAU
rnacentral:rRNA from 1 species